rnacentral:sRNA from 2 species
ACGAUUGUUUACUAGGGUUCCGCCGGUCAUGACCGGGCUGGUCCGAGAGUAAACCGCUCUUACCUAAGAGCGCCACGGAAGGAUAAAAACCUGGGAGAU